GAUGAACGCUGGCGGCGUGCCUAAUACAUGCAAGUCGAGCGAACAGACGAGGAGCUUGCUCCUCUGACGUUAGCGGCGGACGGGUGAGUAACACGUGGAUAACCUACCUAUAAGACUGGGAUAACUUCGGGAAACCGGAGCUAAUACCGGAUAAUAUAUUGAACCGCAUGGUUCAAUAGUGAAAGACGGUUUUGCUGUCACUUAUAGAUGGAUCCGCGCCGCAUUAGCUAGUUGGUAAGGUAACGGCUUACCAAGGCAACGAUGCGUAGCCGACCUGAGAGGGUGAUCGGCCACACGGGCAGUGAGACAGGGUACAGACUCCUACGGGAGGCAGCAGUAGAGAAUCUUCCGCGAUGGGCGAGAGGGUGACGGAGCAACGCCGCGUGAGUGAUGAAGGACUUCGGAUCGGAAAACUCUGUUAUUAGGGAAGAACAAAUGUGUAAGUAACUAUGCACGUCUUGACGGUACCUAAUCAGAAAGCCACGGCUAACUCCGUG
rnacentral:rRNA from 1 species